rnacentral:rRNA from 1 species
UACGUAGGGUGCAAGCGUUGUCCGGAAUUAUUGGGCGUAAAGAGCUCGUAGGCGGUCUGUCGCGUCGAAUGUGAAAACCCGGGGCUCAACCCCGGGCCUGCAUUCGAUACGGGCAGACUAGAGUUCGGUAGGGGAGUCUGGAAUUCCUGGUGUAGCGGUGAAAUGACGCAGAUAUCAGGAGGAACACCGGUGGCGAAGGCGGGACUCUGGGCCGAUACUGACGCUGAGGAGCGAAAGCGUGGGGAGCGAACAGG